GUCAUAGUGAAAGGCCACGGCUUGACAUCUUUAGCAGGAGAAAUUAACCCUUUCCUUGAUUUCAUGUUGUUUAUGGAGAAGGAGAACCAGGAACGCUACCAAGCCAUGGCCGAGAGACGUGUCUCGCUGCGAUGUGUUGUUACAUUUUUUGAGAGGUGCACUUCAGGUUAUAGCGUAGGGUCCGGCAUAGACGCAGAGAGGUCGGCGGGGGUAUGCCAUCGAUUCUAUGCACAACCAUAAAACGGCC